rnacentral:rRNA from 1 species
ACACGACUCUCGGCAAUGGAUAUCUCGGCUCUCGCAUCGAUGAAGAGCGCAGCGAAAUGCGAUAUGUGGUGCGAAUUGCAGAAUCCCGCGAACCAUCGAGUCUUUGAACGCAAGUUGCGCCCGAGGCCAACCGGCCAAGGGCACGUCUGCCUGGGCGUCAAGC